AGGGCUCGGCCCACCGUCGUGCAAACCCACCCCGUGGUGUGAGGCCAGGAGGGUGCGGUCACUGGGGGCCCAGGAGCUGUACCAAUGCCUGAAGCAGCCCCCACCCCGGCGGUCCGGAGAGUCUGGGUCGCGCCCUGGUGUGUCUCUUUUGGCGUCUCCUAACCACAGCUUGGGGGAGGAGAGUGGCGAUGGCGAGGAGCAACUGCACGCGACUCGGGACCUUGUCCUUCUCGGCAGCCCGCGUCACCAUGGCAACCGCGGGCAGCGCAGCACUGAAGCCAAGAAAAUGAGGACCCGAGCCGGGUUACCGCCUUGGACUUCGAGCAGCCCAGACAGAGUCUCUGCGUCCUCGAGCCUCCACUUGCCUUCAUGUCGGAGACCCUAAGCCCGCAGCGAGGUCCGCAAGGGGUGUUCCCCAAGCCCAGGAGACCGGAAGUGCGGGGGCCCAGAUGGAGGCAGGACCCGCGUGGCCCCCCUCUGCGCCCUCCCUGGGAUCUGCGCCCCUUCCGGCGCUUCUCCCGCGUCCUUCACCAUGGCAACUCGGGCGCUGGGAGCGCGGGCGGCGAGCCUGGUGGGUGGGGAGCCGCUGGGCUCUAUCCGCCAGCCUACGAGAAGUGACUAAGGCGACGGGAGUCCGUAGGGAGCUGAGGGCGGAGAGAGGAGCGCAGAAAAUGCCCGGCGGCGGCUUCCGUUUCCUCUGAGGGGUUUCAGCUAGGCCUCCAGCUGGGGAGUCACGGCUGCGAGCAGGUUGCCAGGGAUACCCGAGGUCUCAAGAGAAAUAAUGGCAUGUGUUCCUGGAGUUCUGUGUAAAAAUGUUAAUUGAACUGAUGGUGGUGGGAGACUUCAAAAGAAAUUUGUGGAGGUUUUUUCAAGUUAUACUUCCAGAUUCCCCUAAAGACUCAUGCUUUCCUUUCUU